UUCUCAGAAUUAUUUCUCUGAAAUUCAUUAACAGGAUUUCUACUGCUGUUUUCUUUCUGGAAUGCUUCUUGAUGUUCUUAUGUCAGCCAGAGCUUUCUCCUCUGUUGCAGAUAAGAGCAAUGGCCAGAACAUGGAACUAUUCCUGUGAGUCAAGACUUCAGCAAUACCUUGAUAUUUGUGAAUUAUGCAGAAUUUGCUUAUAAUACACAGACUUAUCCAGCUCUAUUGCCUAGAGAAAAACACAUUUUAUCAUCACUAUUCAUGCCUUCCAUUCUUGACACCUCUUUGAAAGCACAAGAAGUGCUGCCUUGUGUAACAUUGUGGUCAUCCGCUCUAGGGAGAGAUUCCUGCUACAUUAUGAGUUGGUGUUCUAUCCUGCCAUCUUCUCUGAAUUAGCAAAUGUGAAAUGCAGCAUAUGGAUUUAUGAAAAGAAAAGUGCAAGAUGUGAAAUAUCCUGAGUAUCUGGAUCUUCGAACAUACGCAUCUCAAUCCGUUGGAGAACCACUCCUCUAUGCCUUAUAUGCAGUCCUGGUAUAUAGAGGUGUCAGUAGUCAUGCAGGACGUUAUUUCUGCUACACAAAGGUAAAUAACAAUUUCAUUUCUAACAGGGUGAGCUCUGUGCUGGUGAGGAGGUACUUGCAUGAAAACUUUACUGGUAACCACUGCUUUUAGGGAAAAAGGUUUUAUUUCAUGUUUAAUUUGAUCUUUUUUGGUGUAUUCUCUGUUCUGAAGAGUUCUCUUUGUGUUUUCAUUUAGAAAGUGUGCAGUUCCUCUGAAGACAUGGCUGCUUUUAUUUGCAGGCUGCUGGUAGACUUUGAUAUGAGAUGAAUGAUGCCUCUGUAGUCUUUUGUGAAAUCAAAAUGGUUCUCAGUCAGCAAGCUUAUUUACUUUUUAA